rnacentral:lncRNA from 1 species
GAGGAACCACAGAACUUCCCCUGAGGCUACUUUGGCUCUUGGGGCCUCUAGCAUGGGCCAGGCAUUCAUGUCUCAUUUGCAGCCCAUCGGGAUCCUUAUGAAACUGUUUUGAAACUAAAGUAAGAGAGCAUAUCAGGAAGUAUUUUGAAAACAAAAAUAGCAUUUUCACACAGCCUAUUAUCAUAAUUCAAGGCUAAGAUGUCACCGCUAUGAAGAACAACCCCAUCGUUAUGUAAGCAAUGAGUUCAUCUCGUUACUGGGGAUGUUCCAGAGUCCCAGGAUCCGACAGGGUCAGAGCGCCCAGACAGUUUUCUCUGGUGUUUUCUACUUUCAUCCUCCGAGCUUUUGUCUGUGGACAAGUGUGAGCGUCGCUGUGAUGGGGCCGCGUGACCCUCGGGCAGAGACGACAGAACCUGCAAAACAAGAGACAGGGGCAUCUGAAGGGGCAGGGAAAGAGCCUGAGUCUUCGCAGACUCCCAGCCUCCCUGGCUCGGGAAGCAGGCCACAAAAUGACUGCUGUGGUUCCAGACAUUACACUCUCACUUAA